rnacentral:rRNA from 1 species
AACGUAGGAGACGAACGUUAUCCGGAGUUACUGGGCGUAAAGGGCGUGUAGGCGGCUAUGUAAGUCGGGCGUGAAAUCCCACGGCUCAACCGUGGAAGUGCACCCGAAACUGCGUAGCUAGAGUCCUGGAGAGGAAGGUGGAAUGCUUGGUGUAGAGGUGAAAUUCGUAGAUAUCAAGCGGAACACCGGUGGCGAAGGCGGCCUUCUGGACAGUGACUGACGCUGAGACGCGAAAGCGUGGGGAGCAAACAGG